rnacentral:rRNA from 1 species
GACGAACGCUGGCGGCGUGCUUAACACAUGCAAGUCGAACGGAAAGGCCCUGCUUUUGUGGGGUGCUCGAGUGGCGAACGGGUGAGUAACAUGUGAGUAACCUGCCCUUGACUUUGGGAUAACUUCAGGAAACUGGGGCUAAUACCGGAUAUGAUCUCCUGCUGCAUGUUGUGGGUUGGAAAGUUUCGGCGGUUGGGUCUGGACUCGCGGCUUAUCAGCUUGUUUGUGGGGUAGUGGCUUACCAAGGCUUUGACGGGUAGGCGGCCUGAGAGGGUGACCGGCGACAUUGGGACUGAGAUACGGCCCAGACUGCUAAGGGAGGCAGCAGUGGGGAAUAUUGCACAAUGGGCGGAAGGCGGAUGAAGAAACGCCGCGGGCGGGAUGACGGCCUUCGGGUUGUAAACCGCUUUCGCCUGUGACGAAGCGUGAGUGAAGGUAAUGGGUAAAGAAGCACAGGCUAACUACGUG